UGGAGCUUGUUCUUGAGGUCAGGUCUGAAGGUACAGAUGAACAUGAUCGGUAUGGAGAUGAUGCAGAUAAGGAGCAGUAGAGAGGGGCUGCUUACAUACAGGGCUGCAGAGAAUGAAAGUCUUUUACAUUGUCCAUGAGCAAAUAUUUAUUGAGUGUCAGCUGUGUAGGUACUGUGAAUACAAAGUGAACAAAAUAGACAUGGUUCCUGUGCUUGUUGAUCAUACAGUCUAAUGGGGCAGACAAAAGUAGAGACAAUUAAGUGAAUAAUGGAAGUUUUCAGAACAAAGAAUAAUGGGGAAAUGACAUUUCAGCUGAGACCCAGAGGUCAAAAAAGAUUUCAGUACAGAGGGUGGGGGCAAGAGGAUUCCAGGUAAAAAGAUGAUAUGGCCGCACCUGCGGCAUAUGGAGUUCCCAGGCUAGGGGUCGAAUCAGAGCUGCAGCUGCAGGCCUAGCCACAGCCAUAGCAAUGCCAGAUCUGAGCCAUGUCUGUGAUCUGCAACACAGCUCAUGGCAACACGGGAUCCUUCACCCACUGAGCAAGGCCAAGGCUCGAACCUGCAUCAUCAUGGAUGCCAGUCAGAUUCAUUUCCACUGAUCCACGAUGGGAACUCCAGGAAUGCGUAUUUUGGAGAGAGGGUGCUGUGGAGACCAGGUGAAGCAGGAGAGCUUUAGGGGAGAACUUAGGACACUGGGUGUUAGAUACAGAAGUUAGGGUAGAUUAUGUCAGAGCAGAAAGAAGCAUGAAGUCGUUUAGCAUGGGUUUAUCUGAGCCGUGAAGUGGAAAAACUUUUCUCUAGAGACUCAAAAUGGGAGUUAAAAACAGUAACUAGAUUCAGACUGGGCAGGAAGGUGAAAAUAGGAAGACAAGUCAAAGUUGAUUGGGGUCUAGUGACAUAGACUAGCGUAGUAAAAAUAGAAUUCCAGGAAAAAAAUUAUUGAGGACUUUAACCCUGAACCAAGCCAGCUGAAUAAUUUAUACUGUUCUCUCACCUCUGAAUAAUCUCUGCCCUUACAUACUACUGAGUUAUAAUGGAGUUUCAUUAUGAACACGAACCUUUUAUAUGCUACACUGUGCUAAACUAGGGAAAAAAGGAUUUCCACCAGAGAGAGAAAGAGGGGGAAGGUCUCCCCCUUUGUAUUUUUGUAUAGGUAGCAGCAGUGAACUUAAGGCAUAUGGUUAUGAAGUCUCAGCAAGAUUAUACAAAGCAGGGAGGGGUAAUUCUCCAAAAGGAAAUUAGUAUGGAUGCUAGGCAGCUAAAAAGAAAUGUCUCCUUUUCACUCUCAAAAAAGUUUCAUGAUUUUUAAAGAGAACCCUAAUAUACUGUUGGUGAGAAUGUAAACUGGUGCAGCCACUCUGGGAAACAGUAUGGGGAUUCCUCAAAGAUUUAAGAGUGGAACUAACAUAACAUCCAGCAGUACCCACUUCCAGGUAUUUAUCCAAAGAAUACCAAACCACUAAUCUGAAAAGAUAUAUGCACCCCUGUAUUCAUCACAGCAUUAUUUACAAUUGCCAAGAUACGAAAAUAACUGAAGUGCCCAUCAAUAGAUGAAUGAAUAAAGAUGUGGUAUAUAUACACAAUGUUAAAGGUGAAAUCUUGCCAUUUGCAAUAAUGUGGAUGGACCUUAAGGAUAUUGUGCUAAGUGAAAUAAAUCAGAGGAAGACUAAAUACCAUAUGAUUUCACUCAUAUGUGGAAUCUAAAAAACAAACAAACAGGAACCCAAAAUAAAUUAAACCAAACCAAACGUGUUGAUACAGAGAACAGAGUAGUGGCUUCCAGAGGGGAAGAGGCAGAGGGAAGGAGAAAUGAAUAAAGGGUAUCAACAGUUUGGUGACAAGUGGAAUCUAAAUUUUUGGUAGUGACCACCCUUGUAGGGUAUAUAGAAGUAGAAACAUAAUGUACAUAUGUAAUUAAUAUGUUACCAACUAAUGUUACCUCAAUUAAAAGAAUUUCAUAGUUCUUCACAUUGUGGUACUUUACUUGUGUAAGACAAAUGGUAGCUAGAAAUUAUUAAGUGCUUUGCUCAGUACAGUUUAUACUGUGUCUGAUUUCAUCCCUUUACAUGCUGCAUCUUUAAUCAUCACAGCAAUCUUGUGAGUAAUCACUUGUGUAAACUUACCCAGUAAUAGGUGUGAGAACCAGGCGCAGAUUCAGGUGGUGUGUGCUGCACUGCCUCUGUGCUGUUUAAAAAAUUAUCAUGAAUUAGUUAAUGCUUUUAAAUAAAAUUGGAUUUUAUUAAUUUUAAUGGAUGUGCAUAUUUUUAAAUGGUAGUACCAUGUAUCCCUCUCUUUCUCUCUCUCUCUCUCUCUCUCGUGCGUGCGUACACGCACACGCACACACACACAUACAUUAUGUAAUUUAUUCAGAAAUGUUAGUGAGGCAGUUCCUCACUUUCCCAAGGCUUCUUGGCCGUAACUGAGGAAUCACUGGCUCUCCUUGUAUUGAUGUGCGGUUCUCUCCUGAUCGUGGCAUUUCUUCUCCCCACUGUGUGACAGUCAGUAGUGGUCCUGAGUAAUCUAAGGCAGUCACUGUAGCGUGCCCCCCCCCCCCCCGGGAUAGAUUCAGAAAUAGGCAUGUUACCAUUCUAGGCUGAGGAAAGUUUGCAGAAGCUUCUGGGGAAGACUUUUUUCUUUGUCCAAGACAUGGGUAAGAGGCAAUCUUGUCAAAUCCAACAAGGAAACCUGCCCUAGAGGGUGGCUGAGGGAAUUGCAAAGGGAUGGAGCUAGGUUAAGCCAACCCUAAAUUCCACCCUACCCCUGAAAUAACACUUCUGUGAGCCAGUGAAUUUUCCUCACGUUUAAGCAGUUUGAGGUGUGAUUUCUGUUCACUUGGCUAGUGAUAUCUCAGCAGAUGUCAUAAUGCAGAAUUGCAAUUGGAACAGAUUCCUUCUGCUGGAUGUUCAAAGUAAAAUUAUCAAGAUUCUGUUAAAUAGGCUAGUACCCUAGCCUAGCAAGGUAGAAAUUGCAUGAAUUAGAGUCAGAGGACCUGGGUUGUAAUUUCUACUUUGCCACUAGCUACAUAUAUCACAUACCUAAAUUUCCCUGUCAGCAAUAACAGGGAGGUUGCCCUGAAUAAGCUGUAAUGUACUUUUCAUCUCAUAUCCUCUUAAUAUUGGAACCCAUGAAAAAUGUCUUGUUAAACUUAAUUAGGAAUUAAGGAGAUGUUUUUUGAAAAACAGAGAGCCAUCUCAGGUUUUUAUUAUAAUGUAGUAGCCCCAAGGUACUCUGUUUCUUCAACUUCUCUGUAAGUAGCCCUGAUAAAAUUAUUUGAACAGAGGUUUAAAAAUUGCAUUCCCUGCCCCUAUCGCCAUGGGCUUAAAACCAGCACUUUAAAUAAACGGUUAUGAUUCUUCAGAUUGUUCAUCAUCUGUUUCUUUAACAUUUUACUGUGGAAACUUUCAAAUAUAUAUAGCAGUGGAAUAGUAUAGUAAAUCCCUGUAUAUUCAUCUUAUUCAUCUUCUCACCUCAGUAAUUAUCAAUAUUUUGAAUUUUUUUUAAUUUGUGCCUUUUUUGCUUUUUAGGGCCACACCCAAGGCAUAUGGAGGUUCCCAGGCCAGGGGUUGAAUUGGAACUACAGCUGCCGGCCUACACCACAACAACGCCAGAUCUGAGCUGCGCCUGUGAUCUGUACCACAGCUCACGGUAAUGCCUGAUCCUUAACCCACUGAUCAAGGCCAAGGAUUGAACCCACAACCUCAUGGUUCCUAAUUGUAUUCACUUCCACUGCUCCACAGCAGGAACUCCAAUAUUUUGACAGUUUUGAAACCCAUAGCUCUUAAGUGCUUAUAGUUGGCUCUUCUAGCAGAGACUUUUUUCUCCAGCUAAACUUUGGAGCUAAAUUAGGUCUCCUUAACUUUAAGGUUUCAGUUGUCUGCAUAUAUUUAUUUAAUGCUGUAGUUUUUAGAUCAAAAAAGUUAUAAUGGAGUUCCCAUGCGAGCCUGGCUAGUAUCCUGGG
rnacentral:lncRNA from 1 species